rnacentral:rRNA from 1 species
UUAAGCGACUAAGCGUACACGGUGGAUGCCCUGGCAGUCAGAGGCGAUGAAGGACGUGCUAAUCUGCGAUAAGCGUCGGUAAGGUGAUAUGAACCGUUAUAACCGGCGAUUUCCGAAUGGGGAAACCCAGUGUGUUUCGACACACUAUCAUUAACUGAAUCCAUAGGUUAAUGAGGCGAACCGGGGGAACUGAAACAUCUAAGUACCCCGAGGAAAAGAAAUCAACCGAGAUUCCCCCAGUAGCGGCGAGCGAACGGGGAGCAGCCCAGAGCCUGAAUCAGUGUGUGUGUUAGUGGAAGCGUCUGGAAAGGCGCGCGAUACAGGGUGACAGCCCCGUACACAAAAAUGCACAUGCUGUGAGCUCGAUGAGUAGGGCGGGACACGUGGUAUCCUGUCUGAAUAUGGGGGGACCAUCCUCCAAGGCUAAAUACUCCUGACUGACCGAUAGUGAACCAGUACCGUGAGGGAAAGGCGAAAAGAACCCCGGCGAGGGGAGUGAAAAAGAACCUGAAACCGUGUACGUACAAGCAGUGGGAGCACGCUUAGGCGUGUGACUGCGUACCUUUUGUAUAAUGGGUCAGCGACUUAUAUUCUGUAGCAAGGUUAACCGAAUAGGGGAGCCGAAGGGAAACCGAGUCUUAACUGGGCGUUAAGUUGCAGGGUAUAGACCCGAAACCCGGUGAUCUAGCCAUGGGCAGGUUGAAGGUUGGGUAACACUAACUGGAGGACCGAACCGACUAAUGUUGAAAAAUUAGCGGAUGACUUGUGGCUGGGGGUGAAAGGCCAAUCAAACCGGGAGAUAGCUGGUUCUCCCCGAAAGCUAUUUAGGUAGCGCCUCGUGAAUUCAUCUCCGGGGGUAGAGCACUGUUUCGGCAAGGGGGUCAUCCCGACUUACCAACCCGAUGCAAACUGCGAAUACCGGAGAAUGUUAUCACGGGAGACACACGGCGGGUGCUAACGUCCGUCGUGAAGAGGGAAACAACCCAGACCGCCAGCUAAGGUCCCAAAGUCAUGGUUAAGUGGGAAACGAUGUGGGAAGGCCCAGACAGCCAGGAUGUUGGCUUAGAAGCAGCCAUCAUUUAAAGAAAGCGUAAUAGCUCACUGGUCGAGUCGGCCUGCGCGGAAGAUGUAACGGGGCUAAACCAUGCACCGAAGCUGCGGCAGCGACGCUUAUGCGUUGUUGGGUAGGGGAGCGUUCUGUAAGCCUGUGAAGGUGUGCUGUGAGGCAUGCUGGAGGUAUCAGAAGUGCGAAUGCUGACAUAAGUAACGAUAAAGCGGGUGAAAAGCCCGCUCGCCGGAAGACCAAGGGUUCCUGUCCAACGUUAAUCGGGGCAGGGUGAGUCGACCCCUAAGGCGAGGCCGAAAGGCGUAGUCGAUGGGAAACAGGUUAAUAUUCCUGUACUUGGUGUUACUGCGAAGGGGGGACGGAGAAGGCUAUGUUGGCCGGGCGACGGUUGUCCCGGUUUAAGCGUGUAGGCUGGUUUUCCAGGCAAAUCCGGAAAAUCAAGGCUGAGGCGUGAUGACGAGGCACUACGGUGCUGAAGCAACAAAUGCCCUGCUUCCAGGAAAAGCCUCUAAGCAUCAGGUAACAUCAAAUCGUACCCCAAACCGACACAGGUGGUCAGGUAGAGAAUACCAAGGCGCUUGAGAGAACUCGGGUGAAGGAACUAGGCAAAAUGGUGCCGUAACUUCGGGAGAAGGCACGCUGAUAUGUAGGUGAAGUCCCUCGCGGAUGGAGCUGAAAUCAGUCGAAGAUACCAGCUGGCUGCAACUGUUUAUUAAAAACACAGCACUGUGCAAACACGAAAGUGGACGUAUACGGUGUGACGCCUGCCCGGUGCCGGAAGGUUAAUUGAUGGGGUCAGCGCAAGCGAAGCUCUUGAUCGAAGCCCCGGUAAACGGCGGCCGUAACUAUAACGGUCCUAAGGUAGCGAAAUUCCUUGUCGGGUAAGUUCCGACCUGCACGAAUGGCGUAAUGAUGGCCAGGCUGUCUCCACCCGAGACUCAGUGAAAUUGAACUCGCUGUGAAGAUGCAGUGUACCCGCGGCAAGACGGAAAGACCCCGUGAACCUUUACUAUAGCUUGACACUGAACAUUGAGCCUUGAUGUGUAGGAUAGGUGGGAGGCUUUGAAGUGUGGACGCCAGUCUGCAUGGAGCCGACCUUGAAAUACCACCCUUUAAUGUUUGAUGUUCUAACGUUGACCCGUGAUCCGGGUUGCGGACAGUGUCUGGUGGGUAGUUUGACUGGGGCGGUCUCCUCCUAAAGAGUAACGGAGGAGCACGAAGGUUGGCUAAUCCUGGUCGGACAUCAGGAGGUUAGUGCAAUGGCAUAAGCCAGCUUGACUGCGAGCGUGACGGCGCGAGCAGGUGCGAAAGCAGGUCAUAGUGAUCCGGUGGUUCUGAAUGGAAGGGCCAUCGCUCAACGGAUAAAAGGUACUCCGGGGAUAACAGGCUGAUACCGCCCAAGAGUUCAUAUCGACGGCGGUGUUUGGCACCUCGAUGUCGGCUCAUCACAUCCUGGGGCUGAAGUAGGUCCCAAGGGUAUGGCUGUUCGCCAUUUAAAGUGGUACGCGAGCUGGGUUUAGAACGUCGUGAGACAGUUCGGUCCCUAUCUGCCGUGGGCGCUGGAGAACUGAGGGGGGCUGCUCCUAGUACGAGAGGACCGGAGUGGACGCAUCACUGGUGUUCGGGUUGUCAUGCCAAUGGCACUGCCCGGUAGCUAAAUGCGGAAGAGAUAAGUGCUGAAAGCAUCUAAGCACGAAACUUGCCCCGAGAUGAGUUCUCCCUGACUCCUUGAGAGUCCUGAAGGAACGUUGAAGACGACGACGUUGAUAGGCCGGAUGUGUAAGCGCAGCGAUGCGUUGAGCUAACCGGUACUAAUGAACCGUGAGGCUUAACCUU